rnacentral:rRNA from 1 species
AUUGAACGCUGGCGGCAUGCCUUACACAUGCAAGUCGAACGGCAGCACGGGGGCAACCCUGGUGGCGAGUGGCGAACGGGUGAGUAAUGCAUCGGAACGUGCCCAGUAGUGGGGGAUAACUAGUCGAAAGAUUAGCUAAUACCGCAUACGACCUAUGGGUGAAAGCGGGGGACCUUUACCGGCCUCGCGCUAUCGGAGCGGCCGAUGUCUGAUUAGCUAGUUGGCGGGGUAAAAGCCCACCAAGGCGACGAUCAGUAGCUGGUCUGAGAGGACGACCAGCCACACUGGGACUGAGACACGGCCCAGACUCCUACGGGAGGCAGCAGUGGGGAAUUUUGGACAAUGGGCGCAAGCCUGAUCCAGCCAUGCCGCGUGCGGGAAGAAGGCCUUCGGGUUGUAAACCGCUUUUGGCAGGAACGAAACGGCGCGAGCGAAUAUCUCGCGUUAAUGACGGUACCUGCAGAAUAAGCACCGGCUAACUACGUGCCAGCAGCCGCGGUAAUACGUAGGGUGCAAGCGUUAAUCGGAAUUACUGGGCGUUAAGCGUACGCAGGCGG